UACGGAGGGUGCAAGCGUUGUCAGGAAUUAUUGGGCGUAACGGGCACGCAGGCGGUUCCUUAAGUCGGAUGUGAAAGCCCGUGGCUCAACCACGGAGGGCCACUGGAAACUGGGGAAAUUGAGAACUGAAGAGGAGAGUGGAAUUCCACGUGUAGCGGUGGAAUGCGUAGAUAUGUGGAGGAACACCAGUGGCGAAGGCGACUCUCUGGUCGGUUGCUGACGCUGAGGUGCGAAAGCGUGGGUAGCAAACAGG
rnacentral:misc_RNA from 1 species